CUGAAAGUACUAAAAAUAUUCUUUAAAAGGAGCAUGAUAUCACUUUGCAAACCUUCCAUAUCUUUCAAUUUAAUCUAUUCCUUCAUCAGUAGGCCUACACUCACACUGUUGAUUAAGUGGUGUUUGAGGGCAACAGCUUUUCUCUGCCUAAGAGAGAAUGCCAUUACCUGCCAACAGUCAACAGGUCAAUAUGCUGUCUUGCCUGUUACAUCUCAAAGCCUAAAUUCUGUAUCAGAGAUGCACUCAAAAAGUCACAACUGAACUUGUCAAGCGGUACAAAGUGUAUGUCAAUGCAUGCCCACAUUGAGUAAUGUUGUAGGACAACCACAUAACCGGUUCCAUGUAUUCUGAUCGGAUGAUUAAAGUUAUCAAUAUUAUGAUAUUCAACAAGUAUAAUUAUUUGAAUUUUUCAUUGUGUUACUUUAAGCGAUACAUGAGGCAACCACAUAACCGGUUCCAUAAGAAACUGAUUAUUUCUGUGUUUGUGUUUGUAAAUUUUUAUCCAAUUUGACCGCUUUGCUACGUUUCCCACCCAGCCCACCCAAAUGUAAACCAGCCCACCCAAAUGUAGUAGGCUAAAACCAGCCCUGCUGUUAAUGCAUGUGUUAUCCACUCAUUGUAUCUGAAAUCUGCCUCUAAAUCCACUUCAACUAGCUUGUAAAUAAACAUUACCUAAAAUUUAA